CAGGCAUUACUCACUUCUAUGUGUAGUGGGGAAGUGUGCAGGCCCUGAGGAGUGCACUUUUCUGUAUUGCAAUUAGAUAAGGCGUGAGAAAUAGGAAAAGGUGGAGAGACUUUUAGGAAUUAUAGAAUCCUACACUCUUAAGUUCAACUAUUCAGAAGACCAUAUCUUGAAUUUAAAAGCCUUACAGAAUAUGCUAGAAUUUGAUUGAUUGCUGGUCUCUGACGUCUUUGGCCAUAUUUCAGCUCAGUUAAAACAUACAUAUACAUGAAUUGUAUGC